GCCCCUUUAGCUCAGUUGGCCAGAGCACCUGUCUUGUAAACAGGGGGUCGCCGGUUCGAAUCCGGCAAGGGGCUCCA
rnacentral:tRNA from 1 species